rnacentral:rRNA from 1 species
AACGUAGGACACAAGCGUUAUCCGGAGUUACUGGGCGUAAAGGGCGUGUAGGCGGAGAUGUAAGUCUAUUCUGAAAGCUCCUGGCUAAACUGGGAGAGGCGAAUGGAGACUGCAUAUCUAGAGUGAGGAAGAGGAAAGUGGAAUUCCGCGUGUAGUGGUGAAAUGCGUAGAGAUCCGGAAGAACACCGGUGGCGAAGGCGGUUAGCUGGGCAGUAGCUGACACUGAGGCGCGACAGCGUGGGGAGCAAACAGG